rnacentral:rRNA from 1 species
UACGUAGGGUGCAAGCGUUAAUCGGAGUUACUGGGCGUAAAGCGUGCGCAGGCGGUGAUGUAAGACAGAUGUGAAAUCCCCGGGCUCAACCUGGGAACUGCAUUUGUGACUGCAUCGCUGGAGUGCGGCAGAGGGGGAUGGAAUUCCGCGUGUAGCAGUGAAAUGCGUAGAUAUGCGGAGGAACACCGAUGGCGAAGGCAAUCCCCUGGGCCUGCACUGACGCUCAUGCACGAAAGCGUGGGGAGCAAACAGG